rnacentral:rRNA from 1 species
GACGAACGCUGGCGGCGUGCUUAACACAUGCAAGUCGAACGGAAACGCCUUUUCGGAUGUACUCUAGUGGCGAAGGGGGGCGUAACACGUGGGUGAUCUGCGCUGCACUCUGGGACAAGGGUGGGAAACUGGGUCUAAUACCGGAUAGGACCGCUCUUUCGUGUGGGUGGUGGCAAGUUUUUUCGGUGUAUGAUGAGGCGGCGGCCUACCAGCUCGGUGGGGGGGUAAUGCCGUACCAAGGCGGCGACGGGUAGCCGGACGGAGAGGGUGGUCGGCCACACUGAGACUGAGAGACGGCCCAGGCUCCGACUAGUGGCAGAUGUGGGGAAUCUUGAACAAGGGGCGCAGGCCUGAUGCAGCGGCGCCGCGUGGGGGAUAACGGCCUUGGGGUUGUAGACUACUAGCGCCUGAAACGAAGCGUUUUGUGACGGUACCUGGAGAAUAAGCACCGGCUAACUACGUG